rnacentral:rRNA from 1 species
AGUUCGAUCAUGGCUCAGAUUGAACGCUGGCGGGAUGCUUUACACAUGCAAGUCGAACGGCAGCACGGACUUCGGUCUGCGGCGAGUGGCGAACGGGUGAGUAAUGUAUCGGAACGUGCCUAGUAGCGGGGAUAACUACGCGAAAGCGUAGCUAAUACCGCAUACGCCCCUUCGGGAAAGCGGGGACCUUCGGGCCUCGCACCUGCCAUUAGAGCCGGCCGAUAUCGGAUUAGCUAGUUGGUAAGGAAGGUAACGGCUCACCAAGGCGACGAUCCGUAGCUGGUUUGAGAGGACGACCAGUCACACUGGGACUGAGACACGGCCCAGACUCACGGGAGGCAGCAGUGGGGAAUUUUGGACAAUGCGGGGAAAACUCCGAUCCACCAUCCGCGUGGGCGGUUGCUUACGGCAGGUACCUUUCAGCCAGUAAAGCAUUUUCUCAGAAGAAAACAGACGUGAUGACACUCCGCAAAACGAUGAUACGGCACCGAAUAAGCACCGGCUAACUACGUGCCAGCAGCCGCGGUAAUACGUAGGGUGCAAGCGUUAAUCGGAAUUACUGGGCGAAGCGUGCGCAGGCGGUUCGCAGUGCCAGAAAGAUGCAAUCCCAGAGCUUAACUUUGAACUGCAUUUUUAACUACCGAGUCAGAGUGUACAGAGGGAGGUGGAAUUCCGCGUGUAGCAGUGAAAUGCGUAGAUAUGCGGAGGAACAAUACUGGAGGCGAAGCGCAGCCUCCUGGGAUAACACUGACGCUCAUGCACGAAAGCGUGGGGAGCAAACAGGAUUAGAUACCCUGGUAGUCCACGCCCUAAACGAACUGCUGUUGGGGCCUUCGCCUGGUAGCGCAGCUGAAUGCGGAAGCGACCGUCUAAUGUAUGCCAAUCGCAGAUUUAAAUCGCGUGAAUUGACGUGGGGACCUCCGCACAAGCGGUGGAUGAUGACGCGAAUUUAGCGCAACGCGAAAACCUUACCUACCCUGACAUGUCUGGAAUCAAAGAUUUUGGGAGUGCUCGCAAGAGAACCGAACACAGGUGCUGGCAUGGCUGUCGUCAGCUCGUGUCGAGAUCGUUGGGUUAAGUCCCGCAACGAGCGCAACCUCGGUCAUUAGCUGCAUACGAAAGGGCACUUAUCGAGACUGCCGGUGCACAAACUGAUAGCAGGGGAUGACGUGUCAAGUCCUCAAGGCCCUUGGCGGGUAGGGCUUCACGCCGCGGCCAACAUCGACAGAUGGCCCUUCGAACCAUGAUAGACGCUGACCCAGAAAGAACUGAUCGUAGGUCUGAUCAGUGUUCAACAACUGAUCGCACAAGCUGAUGGCGAUCAGCGGUGUCGCGGUGAAUACGUUCCCGGGUCUUGUACACACCGCCCGUCACACCAUGGGAGGGUCACCGCAGCGGCGCUGACGCCACCGUGUGAGUGACACACGCACAUCGCGAUUGGGGUGAAGUCGUAACAAGGGCAAACCCACGACACCGAUCUUCCAGAAGAAGCUACGCACCUGAA